CCUGGCUCAGAUUGAACGCUGGCGGCAGGCCUAACACAUGCAAGUCGAACGGUAGCACAGAGAGCUUGCUCUCGGGUGACGAGUGGCGGACGGGUGAGUAAUGUCUGGGAAACUGCCCGAUGGAGGGGGAUAACUACUGGAAACGGUAGCUAAUACCGCAUAACGUCGCAAGACCAAAGAGGGGGACCUUCGGGCCUCUUGCCAUCGGAUGUGCCCAGAUGGGAUUAGCUAGUAGGUGGGGUAACGGCUCACCUAGGCGACGAUCCCUAGCUGGUCUGAGAGGAUGACCAGCCACACUGGAACUGAGACACGGUCCAGACUCCUACGGGAGGCAGCAGUGGGGAAUAUUGCACAAUGGGCGCAAGCCUGAUGCAGCCAUGCCGCGUGUAAUGAAGAAGGCCUUCGGGUUGUAAAGUACUUUCAGCGAGGAGGAAGGCGUUGUGGUUAAUAACCGCAGCGAUUGACGUUACUCGCAGAAGAAGCACCGGCUAACUCCGUGCCAGCCGCCGC
rnacentral:rRNA from 1 species